AAGACUUUAUAAUUGCUGAAAAUACCCAAAUAUGCAGCUUGCUUUUUGAGGCCAGCCCAGCGCGAUUGUGGAAAACUUUAAAUAUAAACUGCCUGGACUACCAGUACCAGGAAGACUUGUAAGGAUUAAGAAUAGGCCAAUACCAUCAUGACAACUGCCGUAGGAAGACAAGGUCGGGGAAGUAGACUGAGUGGACCGACCAACAAAGAUGCAUUAGAGAAACUGUCAAAAGUUCACCCACUUCCUUCACUCAUCCUGCAGUGGCCCAAGAUAAACUCAUCUCUUAUCAAGAAGUGAAGAACAAGGGACAGACUGAUGACAGAGGCUACAUCACCACCACCACCAGAUGACAGAGGCUACAUCACCACCACCACCAGAUGACAGAAGGCUAUAUCACCACCACCAUGUCCCAUAAA